rnacentral:rRNA from 1 species
UAAUACGAAGGGAGCGAGCGUUGUUCGGAAUCACUGGGCUUAAAGCGUGCGUAGGCGGAUUAGUAAGUAAGAAGUGAAAUCCCAGGGCUUAACCCUGGAACUGCUUUUUAGACUGCUUGUCUGGAAUUCGGUAGAGGUUGGUGGAACUCCUAGUGUAGAGGUGAAAUUCGCAGAUAUUAGGAAGAACACCGGUGGCGAAGGCGACCAACUGGACCGAUAUUGACGCUGAGGCACGAAAGCGUGGGUAGCAAACAGGAUUAGAUACCCUGGUAGUCCACGCUGUAAACCAUGUAUGCUAGCUGUUGGAGUCCUUAGGGCUUCGGCGGCGGAGAGAAAUCAUUAAGCAUACCGCCUGGGGAGUACGGCCGCAAGGUUA